rnacentral:rRNA from 1 species
AGAGUUUGAUUCUGGCUCAGGAUGACGUUGGCGGUAUGCUUAACACAUAUAAGUCGUACGUGAUUUGGUUUAUUUAAGUGGCGGAUAUGUGAGUAAUGCGUAAGAACCUUACUUUUUGGAGGGGAAUAACAAAUGAAAACUAUUGCUAAUAUCCCCCAAGGUUGAGGAGGAAAAGGAGGAAUCCGCCUAUAGAAGGCUUUCGUCUCAUUAGUUAGUUGGUGAGGCAAUAGCUUAUAAGAAAAUGAUCAGUAGUUGGUCUGAGAAGAUGAUCAGCCAGACUGGGACUGAGAAACGACCCAGACUCUUACAGGAGGCAGCAAUGAGGAAUUUUUCGCAAUGGGCGACAGCCUGCAAGAGCAAUGUUGCUUGAGGGCCUAAGGCCUUCGGGUCAUUAACCUCUUUUCUCAGAGAAUAAUAAAUGAAAGUAUCUGAGGAAUAAGCAUCAGCUAACUCUAUGCCAGUAGUUGCGAUAAGACAGAAGAUGCAAGUGUUUUCUGAAAUUAUUAGGUGUAAAGCGUUUGUAAAUGGUUUUUUUAGUUCGCUAUUAAAUACAAGAGCUUAACCUUAGUUUAAGCGGUUGAAAUUAUUAAUCUUGGAGUACUAUAGGGGCAGAGGGAAUAUCCGGUGUUGCGAUGAAAUGCAUAGAGAUCAGAGAGAACACUAAUUGGAAAAGCACUCUGUUGGGACGAAUCUCACAUUGAGAGAUGAAAGCUAAAGUAGCAAAUAGGAUUAAAUACCCCAGUAAUCUUAGCCAUAAAUGAUGGAUACCAAGUACUGUGCGUAUCGACCAAUGCAGUGCUAUAGUUAACACAUUAAAUAUCCCACCUAGAGAAUGAAACUCAAAGGAAUUGAUAGGGCCCGAACAAGCGGUGAAGCAUGUGGUUUAAUUCGAUGCAAAGUGAAGAAUCUUACUAGGGCUUGACAUGCCAUGAAUCCUCUUGAAAGAGAAGAGUGCUAUAGGGAACAUAGACAUAGGUGGUGCAUAGCUGUCAUUAGCUCGUGCCGUAAGGUGUUAGGUUAAGUCCUGUAAUGAGCGCAACCCUCAUGUUUGGUUGCUAUUUUAAUUUGGCGAAACUUUAAACAUAUUGUCGUCAUUAAGCACAAGCAGGGGAUUUUAUUAUCGAAGCCGAAGAGAUAUUAAAACUUCGUGAAACUCUAACACGAGUCUAUGUACAAAGAAUGGGUAAGCUUUUAUGGGGUAUUUCUGAAGAUAUGGAAAGAGGUGUUUUUAUGUCUGCAAUAGAAGCUAGAGAUUAUGGUAUUGUUGAUCUUGUAGCCGUAGAAACUGAUAUAAAAGACUAGGUAAUCCCUUCAU